rnacentral:rRNA from 1 species
AUUGAACGCUGGCGGCAGGCUUAACACAUGCAAGUCGAGCGGGGAAAGGUAGCUUGCUACCUGACCUAGCGGCGGACGGGUGAGUAAUGCUUAGGAAUCUGCCUAUUAGUGGGGGACAACAUCUCGAAAGGGAUGCUAAUACCGCAUACGUCCUACGGGAGAAAGCAGGGGACCUUCGGGCCUUGCGCUAAUAGAUGAGCCUAAGUCGGAUUAGCUAGUUGGUGGGGUAAAGGCCUACCAAGGCGACGAUCUGUAGCGGGUCUGAGAGGAUGAUCCGCCACACUGGGACUGGGACACGGCCCAGACUCCUACGGGAGGCAGCCGUGGGGAAUAUUGGCCAAUGGGGGGAACCCUGAUCCAGCCAUGCCGCGUGUGUGAAGAAGGCCUUUUGGUUGUAAAGCACUUUAAGCGAGGAGGAGGCUACCGAGAUUAAUACUCUUGGAUAGUGGACGUUACUCGCAGAAUAAGCACCGGCUAACUCUGUG